ACAAGUAGUGAAUGUGUAGAUCCCUCAUUAUGGUUCUAGAUGAGACUUAAUUCUUUCUAGUCAUCUUUCGUUCUAUUUUCACCUUUUGAAAGGUGAGCUGUAAAAGACAGGUGGCAAAAGAGGAUAUUCUGGUGGCAGACUGUGAGGGUAAGACACGUGGCAAUGAGGUUUUGGUUUUUCUGUUGGCUGUUUUAGAGGGAGUAGUGGAGUGUCUUGGUGGUAGAAAGAGUCGGGGUUGUUAGAGGGCGGUAGAAAAUGUCCUCUGCAGGGAUGGCACGUAUCAGAGGGGAUAUAUUUUCCUUCUGGGGGUGUGUUGAGAAAAGGAAAAAGAAAAGGGGGAAGAGGAUUUUAUAGGGAGGUGAAACGCUGGAUCUCGAGAAGGGCUGAGGAAAAGCUGUGAAACAGAGAGAGUGAGUAGGCUGUGAGAGAGCCAUUUUUGAGAGAGUAAGCAGGCUAUUUUUGAGAAGAAAAAGAGAUCAGCAAGAGAAGGGAAGCAGAUUAGGAGCUCACCAGUUUUGUCCAGGUCAUGCCCCAGCUUUCUUUUGAGAAGUCUACAUAUUCCUGGUAUCUAUCACCAUUUUGUUGGCGUGUUGGAGAAGUAUUGCAUUGGACCAGGAUGAGAUGGUAAGAGACUUCCAGCUUCGGAGCAAUGCCUUUGCUUUCUUGCUGAGUACCAAAGCUGGGACUGGAAAUCUGAUCAGUAAAAAGAAUAGUGAGCAUUUUGGGUUGAAUGAGGGUCCUUCGAGAGUCUACGGAUGAUGGCCACUUGAUUUUGGAGUUGGGGAACGAAUUUUCUCACUACCGAUGAUAUGAGUGUCAUACUAGUUGCAAAACUGAAGAGAAGAUUGGGAUGUGAAAUGUGGGCAAAAUUACAUUUGAUUGGCAUGCAUGUUGGCUAGGGUAUCAAGUUCCACUGGAGAUCAGGUAGAGGCAAUGGCCUUUCUAGGGGGUUUUAGACAUAAAAUGUGCUUUAAUGGCAUGAGAAUUUCUGGGUCCCUUUCAUCUAGUACUGUUUAUUUGUUAAUUUGGAGACCCAUUUUUGGUUUUGUUGAGGGUUUGUGGUAACUGGGUGUUCUGAGUUGAAGCUGGCCUGUGCUCAUGUGCAAAGCUAACAUGGAGAUGUUUAUAUCCUCUGUAGUCUGUUAUGUAAAAGAGUCUGAACAGAGCAUAUGAUUGAAGAAAUGCUGUUUCCAGAUAUCAAUAAUAAAUGUGUUAUCCAACUUA